rnacentral:lncRNA from 1 species
CCAGUGACAAAUCCAGGAAUAGAAGCCAAGUCUCCUAAGUUGCAGCUUAAUGCCAUCUAAUACUGUAAUCAACAAGAAAGUUUGCCUUCUGAUGUUACAAUGAGGAUGAACCCCCAAGGCACGGCUGCAAUAGUUGUUUGAAACAAGAAACAGCCUCUUGGUGUCAUUCAUUUCACUGAUCCCUGGGAAUCUGAGCCUGAAUGAAGAUUGGUUAUUCAUACUUCCUGGCAGUGGUUAUAAGAGGAGGAUGACUGAGAAUUUGGUAGCCCCUCUCACCAGCCCGACAUUUGGGUCACCUCCACACAUGCCUCCUGCCUGCAGACACCUGGUGGGAUUGACGUCAUUUGAGGCCGAGGAGAGUGGUUAGGUGGCUCUGCUGACUCAAUGGGGUGAAGCCCUGAGGUCCCCAGCAAAACCCCAUCUCCAGCCCCGUACCCUGAAAAGGAGCAUGCUCUUAAUAUCUGUAAGGAGUUGCUCAAACAUCAGAACUGCUGAAGCCCAGUGGAUUUGUAUAACGGGUGAGCAAAAACUAGUGUUGAAGCCACUCUCCAUGUGGAAGUGUUAAUCGCUCCUUCUCCCUGCAGUGGGUGUCAGGGGACUUAAUAACACAUAGGUUCAUACCACAGCCCCACUUUCAG